AAAGUCCCGCAAGGGAUGAGUAGAGUGGCAAACGGGUGAGUAACGCGUGGGUGACCUGCCUUCGAGUGGGGGAUAACGUCCCGAAAGGGACGCUAAUACCGCAUGACAUUCUGUUUUUGAACAGACGGAAAUCAAAGCUGGGGAUCGCAAGACCUAGCGCUCGAAGAGGGGCCCGCGUCCGAUUAGCUAGUUGGUGGGGUAACGGCUCACCAAGGCAUCGAUCGGUAGCCGGCCUGAGAGGGCGGACGGCCACACUGGGACUGAGACACGGCCCAGACUCCUACGGGAGGCAGCAGUAGGGAAUUGUUCGCAAUGGGCGCAAGCCUGACGACGCAACGCCGCGUGGAGGAUGAAGACCUUCGGGUCGUAAACUCCUUUCGAUCGAGACGAAUGGCUUCUGGGUGAAUACCCCGGAAGAAUGACGGUACCGAGAGAAGAAGCCCCGGCUAACUCCGUGCCAGCAGCCGCGGUAAUACGGGGGGGGCAAGCGUUGUUCGGAAUUACUGGGCGUAAAGGGCUCGUAGGCGGCCAACUAAGUCAGACGUGAAAUCCCUCGGCUUAACCGGGGAACUGCGUCUGAUACUGGAUGGCUCGAGAUUGGGAGAGGGAUGCGGAAUUCCAGGUGUAGCGGUGAAAUGCGUAGAUAUCUGGAGGAACACCGGUGGCGAAGGCGGCAUCCUGGACCAACACUGACGCUGAGGAGCGAAAGCCAGGGGAGCAAACGGGAUUAGAUACCCCGGUAGUCCUGGCCCUAAACGAUGAAUGCUUGGUGUGGCGGGUAUCGAUCCCUGCCGUGCCGAAGCUAACGCAUUAAGCA
rnacentral:rRNA from 1 species